GACCGUGCAGCCGGGGACUAUAGGAGACCGGUCUGUUCAUUGAACACAGGACAUUUGGUGCGGGUGGCAAGCGGGAUGUCUUCCUUUUGAAGGAGUAAAGCCAUGUUUGUUUACACUGUGAGGGCUUCGUUCAUUCUUCGUUCUGCAAGAAAAAAUGAGGACAUCCAAAGACAUGCUACAAGGGCUGAGCUCUGAGAGGGACAUUUGAUGGACACGUGAUUGGCCACAAGAGCAGGAGAAGGACACGCUCCACGCCUGGCAAGAUCCUGCAAGACCAAGCAGAAAGAUACAGAUACCGCUUCUUGCACCGCCUUUCAUUGGUUCAGCAAUCUUUGUUCUGCGGUCUGAUUUCUUAAAUAGCAAACAUUAGCAAGGAAAAGUACCGUCCAUAUGAGGACCGCUGAACAAGUUAGGACCGAAAUCAUGGUCCCAAUACGGAAAACCAUUGCAUCUAAUAGAGAAUGUCUCAUUUGCACCCCUGGUGGUGAAAUCUAUCAAAAUUAGGGUGGUCCCAAAAAGGAGGGAUUUUUCAAAUUGACUGUGUGUCGGGUUUAAAAGUGCUCCCCCUCUGGUCAACAUGUGAAAUAACAAGUUUGGCCAAAAUCAAUUAAAUAAAUUAAUACUUAUGUAUAUAGAGACAUACUGUAAUAACUUAAAGUAAAUAAUGAAGAUUAAAAACCAAUUACAAACAAAAAAUAAAAAUAAAAUGAAAAUAACCAAAAGCAGUCUUUUUCUCACAAUUUGUCGACAUAUUUCUUAUAAA